rnacentral:lncRNA from 1 species
AGGAAAAUAAUAAUCAGUAAGAGUGAUUUCUCGCACGUCGUCCCAAAAAUUCGCAGUGAUCUACCUAGAGAUAAAGCUCAUUUAUAAAUUGAUUAAAUCUUCAAGUUAUUCGAAAUAUUCGGGCUAGGUCGGUUGCCUUUUUUCAGAGAAUCGUCCUUUGAGUGUUAAAUCUUCACGGUAAAGUCUUUUGUAAAAGAAAUGAUGGUGCCGUCAAAACACCAUGUUCCUAUAACCAAUCGCUGAAUAUGUUCAUCCUUGUCACAAAGCAGAUCCUAAUAUCAACUCAUGUAUUAAAGAGACUUUCACCAUUUGGCGACCCUACUUGAUCUCAGGGAUCCAAGAAAUCAAGGUCCCAUCAAUCGAACCCAUGAUCAUCCAACGCAUGGCCAUGGAAAAGGGCACGGGCCAGUGAGGGUCAGAGCUUUCUCAACAACAUGACCAUAUUGGGGGCAAGUAACUACACGGUGCUCUCCGUCAAGUGAGUUCAAAAGCUUCUACAACCUCUGAGAAUAGUCUAAGUCCAUCAGGCAUAUUACAGGUACACGUCUGUCCGUUGCAGCAACACUUUGCAUAUACUUAAAAAAAGGAAUAUGAAACAUUCUACUUGGUUCAUGGACCUGCAAAUAUGAAUUCAAUGUAUGAAAGUCGUGUGUUUGUCAUAUGAUUCUGCUUUGACGAUUGGAUCUCGCAUGCUCACUUCACACGUGGAAAAUCAGGCUCUGUGGU